GACGAACGCUGGCGGCGUGCCUAAUACAUGCAAGUAGAACGCUGAAGAGAGGAGCUUGCUCUUCUUGGAUGAGUUGCGAACGGGUGAGUAACGCGUAGGUAACCUGCCUUGUAGCGGGGGAAAACUAUUGGAAACGAUAGCUAAUACCGCAUAACAAUGGGUGACACAUGUCAUUUAUUUGAAAGGGGCAAUUGCUCCACUACAAGAUGGACCUGCGUUGUAUUAGCUAGUAGGUGAGGUAAUGGCUCACCUAGGCGACGAUACAUAGCCGACCUGAGAGGGUGAUCGGCCACACUGGGACUGAGACACGGCCCAGACUCCUACGGGAGGCAGCAGUAGGGAAUCUUCGGCAAUGGGGGCAACCCUGACCGAGCAACGCCGCGUGAGUGAAGAAGGUUGUCGGAUCGUAAAGCUCUGUUGUAAGUCAAGAACGGGUGUGAGAGUGGAAAGUUCACACUGUGACGGUAGCUUACCAGAAAGGGACGGCUAACUACGUG
rnacentral:rRNA from 1 species